AGAGUUUGAUCCUGGCUCAGAUUGAACGCUGGCGGCAGGCCUAACACAUGCAAGUCGAGCGGAUGAGAAGAGCUUGCUCUUCGAUUCAGCGGCGGACGGGUGAGUAAUACCUAGGAAUCUGCCUGGUAGUGGGGGACAACGUUUCGAAAGGAACGCUAAUACCGCAUACGUCCUACGGGAGAAAGCAGGGGACCUUCGGGCCUUGCGCUAUCAGAUGAGCCUAGGUCGGAUUAGCUAGUUGGUGAGGUAAUGGCUCACCAAGGCUACGAUCCGUAACUGGUCUGAGAGGAUGAUCAGUCACACUGGAACUGAGACACGGUCCAGACUCCUACGGGAGGCAGCAGUGGGGAAUAUUGGACAAUGGGCGAAAGCCUGAUCCAGCCAUGCCGCGCGUGUGAAGAAGGUCUUCGGAUUGUAGAGCACUUUAAGUUGGGAGGAAGGGCAGUAAGCGAAUACCUUGCUGUUUUGACGUUACCGACAGAAUAAGCACCGGCUAACUCUGUGCCAGCAGCCGCGGUAAUACAGAGGGUGCAAGCGUUAAUCGGAAUUACUGGGCGUAAAGCGCGCGUAGGUGGUUCGUUAAGUUGGAUGUGAAAUCCCCGGGCUCAACCUGGGAACUGCAUCCAAAACUGGCGAGCUAGAGUAGGGCAGAGGGUGGUGGAAUUUCCUGUGUAGCGGUGAAAUGCGUAGA
rnacentral:rRNA from 1 species